AUUGAACGCUGGCGGCAGGCCUAACACAUGCAAGUCGAGCGAGCGGCGGACGGGUGAGUAAUGUCUGGGAAACUGCCUGAUGGAGGGGGAUAACUACUGGAAACGGUAGCUAAUACCGCAUACCAUCAGAUGUGCCCAGAUGGGAUUAGCUAGUAGGUGGGGUAACGGCUCACCUAGGCGCCGAUCCCUAGCUGGUCUGAGAGGAUGACCAGCCACUCUGGAACUGAGACACGGUCCAGACUCCUACGGUAGGCAGCAGUGGGGAAUAUUGCACAAUGGGCGCAAGCCGGAUGCAGCCAUGCCGCGUGUAUGAGGAAGGCCUUCGGGUUGUAAAGUACUUUCAGCGGGGAGGCGUUACCCGCAGAAGAAGCACCGGCUAACUCCGGGCCAGCAGCCGCGGUAAUUC
rnacentral:rRNA from 1 species